UGGGGCCAUGGCUCAGGGGUAGGGCAUUUGAUUGCAGAUCAAAAGGUCCCUGGUUCAAAUCCAGGUGCCCUGU